AUUGAACGCUGGCGGCAUGCCUUACACAUGCAAGUCGAACAGUAACAGGUUAAGCUGACGAGUGGCGAACGGGUGAGUAAUAUAUCGGAACGUGCCCAGUCGUGGGGGAUAACGUAGCGAAAGCUACGCUAAUACCGCAUACGAUCUACGGAUGAAAGCGGGGGAUCGCAAGACCUCGCGCGAUGGGAGCGGCCGAUAACAGAUUAGGUUGUUGGUGAGGUAAAAGCUCACCAAGCCUGCGAUCUGUAGCUGGUCUGGGCGGACGACCAGCCACACUGGAACUGAGACACGGUCCAGACUCCUACGGGAGGCAGCAGUGGGGAAUUUUGGACAAUGGACGCAAGUCUGAUCCAGCAAUGCCGCGUGCAGGACGAAGGCCUUCGGGUUGUAAACUGCUUUUGUACGGAACGAAACGGUGAGCUCUAAUACGGUUUGCUAAUGACGGUACCGUAAGAAUAAGCACCGGCUAACUACGUGCCAGCCGCCGCCGUAA
rnacentral:rRNA from 1 species